UACGUAGGGGCCGAGCGUUGUCCGGAGUUACUGGGCGUAAAGCGCGCGCAGGCGGCUCGUCAAGCCUGACGUGAAAGCCCCGGCUCAACCGGGGAGGUCGUCGGGGACUGGCGGGCUUGAGGUCGGCAGGGUUGGUGGAAUUCCGGUGUAGUGGUGAAAUGCGUAGAGAUCGGGAGGAACACCGUGGCGAAGGCGGCCAACUGGGCCGGACCUGACGCUGAGGCGCGAAGGCGUGGGGAGCGAACGGG
rnacentral:rRNA from 1 species